rnacentral:misc_RNA from 1 species
AGAAGACUUGUUCUGGUAAAGAAUGAGAAAGAACAAAGUUGAAAUUUAUCCAAAUGCCAACAGCUCAGUGGCACUCUGAAACUCAGCAUAUUUUUGAUACCUAAGGCAAGCUAAAGAAAGUAUAAAUAUUUAAAAACCAAAUUUUGUUUUCAAAUUUCACAGAAAUAAUACUUUGAUAGAGAGACAGCUCUCAACAAUCCAAUUUAAUUGGAGGAUAAACAGCUAAAUUGCGUCACUUGAAUGUUUGGAACUCAUCUUUAUCAUAGGCAGGCAUAUAGACUAAAAGCAGAAUUUAAUAAAAGAGACAACCAACCACCAAAACCAGUAAUAAGGGAUUAAUAAUAGU